AACAACAGCCAACGACCAAAACGUUGUCAUCACAGCAACGUACACCAACGACAAUACCAACGCUGUAACAACAGCGACCAUCGACAAACCAGCUCCACAUCCUUUUCCCCUUAGCAAUUCAACGUUAUCAGCAAAGGCCGUACAAACUCCAACCCCAGCAACAACAAUUUCAACGCAACAAACAGCAACGACUUCAACGAAAACCCGACCCUAACCCGAACCCGUCAAUCCUCAACCCGGCAUCAACGACAGACCCCCUGACCCCCGCCUAUUACCCUUUUACCCCUCCUACAGUUACAGUCGAGAAUGGCUAAAAAUUUCUCACUUUUCUCUUUUCAGCUUGUGCUCCUCUGUUCUGAGCAAGAUACAACGGAUAUGUAUCUCUUCCUUUGUGCGAGCUUGUUUUCUACUGAAUUUCAAAGACUGGUCUUUGUCUCAUUAUGGACUCCAAUUCUCUGAAAAAAUCAUUCCGAAAUUCGGAUUUAAGAUCAUUGUUUUCAAAAAUUCAAAACCCCAAUGUUCCCCUAUAAAUAGAGGUUGAAAGAAGAGGAGAAGGAGGAGGAUUUUUUGGGGGAAAAUUGAGGAUUCUGGAGGCGCGUGCUUCUAAUCCUACGCAGCCAAAAAAUUCCCGAAGAAACACCAGUUUGAAGUCGUCCAUUCGUCGUCCCAAUUUCGCUGCCCGAAAAAAGUCCAAGCAUCCUAUGAAUCCGAAAUGGUCUAAUAUUUGAAGAAACAAGGCUGGUAUACACUGAUAUAUAGCGCGUAUACACCGCAAACAGUAACUGAACACUGUCCCCCAGUGUAUAAUAAAAGAUGGAGAAGAAAUAUGUUGAUUUCCACACUGAUAUACAGUGUAUACUUGGAGAUAUACAUGAAAAACGCAGGGGAAAGAGCUGUGAUAUAUAGCUGGUAUACAGUUCAGAAAAUGGAGCAAAGUCCAUAAUUUUAAGCCCAAAAAUGGGCAGCUUUGUUGAUGGGCCAAUUAAGGGUUCAAUUUCAA